UGAACUCACGACCUCACGCUUGCUAGGCAGGCGCUGUGCCACUGAGCUAAAUCCCCAGCCCCAACUUCUGGAUAAGGAUGAGUGAGCAGCAGUGAAAUGUUCUACACACAGUCUUCGUUUCAAAGGGGGCAGAGUCUGCUAUGUGGUCCAGGUUGAACCUGAGCUGUAAACCUGCAAUCCCACCACCAGGCUGCAAAGUAACUGGAAUUAUGCAUGUGGGACUGUAUUGAAUAAAACAUUUUGUUUCUGCUAACUAUGAAGUAUAUCAGAGGGUACCAUUUAAGUCGACAUCCUGACUUUGUUCUAGACCGCUCAAUACAAGAUCAUUGUUUCUUCAGUCACUGUCAGAAGAACCCAAAUUAUUUACACACAAGAUGAUGGAUUAAUUCUCAACUGGAAUCCAUCGGUGUCUAGUAUCACACAGUCCUCAAGUUGUUUGCUAUUUUCAGCCCAGCGACUAAAAUGAAGACGUUUCCCAUCUGA